GACGAACGCUGGCGGCGUGCUUAACACAUGCAAGUCGAACGGAAAGGCCCUGCUUGCAGGGUACUCGAGUGGCGAACGGGUGAGUAACACGUGGGUGAUCUGCCCUGCACUUCGGGAUAAGCUUGGGAAACUGGGUCUAAUACCGGAUAGGAGCCAUCUUUAGUGUGGUGGUUGGAAAGUUUUUUCGGUGUAGGAUGAGCUCGCGGCCUAUCAGCUUGUUGGUGGGGUAAUGGCCUACCAAGGCGGCGACGGGUAGCCGGCCUGAGAGGGUGUACGGCCACAUUGGGACUGAGAUACGGCCCAGACUCCUCCGGGAGGCAGCAGUGGGGAAUAUUGCACGAUGGGCGCAAGCCUGAUGCAGCGACGCCGCGUGGGGGAUGAAGGCCUUCGGGUUGUAAACUCCUUUCGCUAGGGACGAAGCUUUUUGUGACGGUACCUAGAUAAGAAGCACCGGCUAACUACGUG
rnacentral:rRNA from 1 species